GUGAAGCCCACCCUAAGAUAAGAUAUCCCAUAUCGUAAGAUAGUAAGAUUCCUGGAAGACUACCCGGUUGAUAGGUUGAAAGUGUAAGUGCAGUAAUGUAUUAAGCUAAUCAAUACUAAUAAAUCGAGGGCUUAACCAC
rnacentral:rRNA from 1 species